rnacentral:tRNA from 1 species
ACCUUUAUAGUUUAUAAAAAUAUUUUAUUUUCAUUAAAAAGAUAAUCAAUUUAAGAUUUAUAGGUU